UACGUAGGGCGCAAGCGUUGUCCGGAAUUAUUGGGCGUAAAGAGCUCGUAGGCGGCUUGUUGCGUCGGUUGUGAAAGCCCGGGGCUUAACCCCGGGUCUGCAGUCGAUACGGGCAGGCUAGAGUGUGGUAGGGGAGAUCGGAAUUCCUGGUGUAGCGGUGAAAUGCGCAGAUAUCAGGAAGAACACCAAUGGCGAAGGCAGCUCUCUGGGACGGUACUGACGCUGUGACGCGAAAGCGUGGGGAGCGAACAGG
rnacentral:rRNA from 1 species